GAAAACCUCGUUAGAGGUCUGUAGAGUGGCAAACGGGUGAGUAAUACGUGGGUGACCUGCCUUCGAGUGGGGGAUAACGUCUCGAAAGGGACGCUAAUACCGCAUGACAUCCUGCCUUUGAACAGGUGGAGAUCAAAGCCGGGGUCGCAAGACCUGGCGCUUGAAGAGGGGCCCACGCCCGAUUAGCUAGUUGGUGAGGUAACGGCCCACCAAGGCGACGAUCGGUAGCCGGCCUAAGAGGGCGGACGGCCACCCUGGGACUGAGACACGGCCCAGACUCCUACGGGAGGCAGCAGUGGGGAAUUGUUCGCAAUGGGCGCAGGCCUGACGACGCAACGCCGCGUGGAGGAUGAAGAUCUUCGGGUCGUAAACUCCUGUCGAGCGGGACGAAUGAUUCGCGACCUAAUACGUCGCGGAAGUGACGGUACCGCUAGAGGAAGCCCCGGCUAACUCCGUGCCAGCAGCCGCGGUAAUACGGUGGGGGCAAGCG
rnacentral:rRNA from 1 species